GUGCUCACUUUGGCAGUUACAUAUAUACUAAAGUUGGAAUAAUAUAGAGAAGAUUAGCAUGGACUCUGUGCAAGGAUGACAUGCAAAUUCCUGAAGUGUUCCAUAAAAAC